AACCAGGAAGGAACACAGAAGCUUCCUGAGACAACGCUUUGUUUGAUGUGUGUUUAGCUUCACUCAAAGAGAAAAUGGCUUCGUAUACUGAGAAGGAUUUGACCUGUCCUGUCUGCCACGAUAUCUUUAAAGAUGCAGUUGUCCUGUCGUGCAGUCAUAGCUUUUGUAAAGGCUGUGUGCAUGCCUGGUGGAGGGAAAAACAAAUAAAUGAGUGUCCCGUUUGUAAGGCAAGACCAUUGAGUGAGCCACCUGUUAGUUUAGUACUGAAGAACCUGUGUGAGGCUUUCUUACAGGAGAAAGCUCAGAGCACUUCUGUGGGAUGCGAGAUUCUCUGCAGUCUGCAUAAAGAGAAACUCAAACUAUUCUGUCUGGAUCAUCAGCAGCCUGUGUGUGUCGUCUGUCGAGAUUCAAAAGCACACAAAAACCACAGCUUCAGACCCGUCGAUGAAGCUACGCAGGAUCACAAAGAGAUGCUCCAGAAUUACCUGAGGCCCCUACAAGAUAAAAUGAAACUGUUUGAAAAAGUUAAAGAAAACUGUGAUCAAACAGCAAAACAGAUUAAGGUCCAGACUAGACACACUGAGAGACAGAUUAAAGACCAGUUUAAAAAACUUUACCAGUUUCUGCAAGAAGAAGAGAAGGCCAAAAUCACAGCUCUCAGAGAGGAGGAAAAGCAGAAAAGUAAAGAAAUGAGGGAUAAGACUGAAGAACUGAAAAGAGCUAUGGCAGCCAUCUCAGACACAAUCAGAGCUGCAGAGAAGGAGCUUAGAACUGCAGACAUCUUAUUCCUGCAGAACUACAAGGCUAUACUAAAUAAAGUUCAGCAGCGCCCCCUGCUGGAUGAUCCACAACCGGUCUCGGGUGCUCUGAUAGAUGUAGCCAAACAUCUCGGCAACCUGACUUUCAACAUCUGGAACAAAAUGAAAGAGAUGGUCGACUAUUCUCCUGUCAUCGUGGAUCCAAACACUGCUCAUCCAGAGCUCACCCCGUCUGAUGAUCUCACAGGAGUGAGAAAUGAGGAGAGACAGAAGCUUCCGGACAACCAAGAAAGGUUUGAUUUUCAUCAAAGUGUUCUGGGCUCUGAGGGUUUUAACACUGGGACGCACAGCUGGGAUGUCAAGGUUGGAGACAGCACAGACUGGGUCCUGGGUGUGGCAGCAGAGUCUGUUCAAAGAAAGGGAGGCAUCAAGUCUGGAAUGUGGCGAAUAGGGCUAUCUGAUGGUACAUAUGCUGCCUCCUCUUCAGAUUCACAUAUUGUUCUCCAAGUGAAGACGCUCAGGAGGGUCAGAGUUCAUCUUGACUGUGACAGAAGAAAAGUGAUGUUCUCUGAUCCUGAUACAGAAACACACAUACACACCUUCACUCACAAUUUUACUGGGAAAAUGUUUCCAUACUUUGGCACCAAGAAUAAAAAGCAACUAAAGAUACUAAAAAAUAAAGUCUCUGUAACAGUAAAGCAGUGUAAUCAGUGAUGUUGUAGGCUUUAAAAGGAAUCCCUGUCAUAGGUUAAAAUAACUAUUUUCUUUCUACACAUACUGACUUAUUAGCAUAGAAAAUUUUAUAUGACUUUAAAGCAGAAUUUUGCGAACUGUCUAACAUUAUCUUAGGGAUAAAGUUGUUUUUGGUGGUUCAUCGCUGUGACAAGGCACCUACAUGCCCAAAAUCAGCUUCUUUUCAUGGAGAUAAUGUCAAAUUCAGAUUUUUAAUAUGGCAUGUGUACUAACAUUGUUUAUGUGUUAAAAAAAUGAAUGUGCUAAUUUUAUAGAUUCAUCUCUUCAAUAAUGAUUUAAUUUUAACAGCUCUGGUAAAAACUCCCAAAUUUAUUUGAUAAAUGUAGGAUAUAUAUUUUUUUAAAUCAUCUGACAACCCCCAGUUCAAAAAUCACUGCUCCAAAGAACAGUUACAACAAAAAACAAUAAUAAAAAUGUGCAAAAGACUAUAAAUAACAGAAAUAGCAACUUCUCCUACCACUCAAAUAUCUUUAAUUGGUAUAUCUCACCUUUUUAGAGAAUUUGAGGUAAUAUUGACUGAGUCAUUUUGAGCAAUGGAAAUAUUUUGAUUUGUUUUUAAGGUUAAUCUUGGAUGGAUAUAUUACUGUUUCAAAAUGUUUUAAGAAUAUUUUGCUGUUCAUGUUUCCUUGUGCAUUCAACCACAUAUGCCAAAUUUGCCAAAGACAAAAGUGAGCAAGUGAUAGAGACAUAAUCAAUUCUAUUUCAGAUUAAGUAUAUCCUAAACAGCAUUACUCUCUUUUUAUUUUUUUACCUUGUUAGCCAAAUCUUAUUAGCAAAAUAUGUUAGUUCAGCUAUAACUAAGCUUUCUGGUGGUUUUAUUCAGCACUAUUUUGCAAUAUACAUAUUUUAACAGGGAUAAUUACUCUCCUGGAUAAAUUAGACGAGGGAAAUUUGCAUUUAAGCUAGCUAGCCAGGUCUAACAAGCUAGCAAGCUGGCUAAUAUAUGCCUUUUAUCUUCACGGUGGUUUUAUUUAUAAAUUUAUAGAGAGAUUAAGUAAUAUUUUUAUAUUCAGACACCAACUAUGGCCCAAUAACAAUUUCACAACAAGCUAAAACUGUCUGACAAAGAUAUGUACAUAUUUCAACUAAACUUUUCUUUAUUUCUGUUCUACAUUCAGUAAAAAAUAUGUUGUUUUCAUGUUUUUAUUUAGUGAACUUACAACUGUAAACUUAAUUUGUUUAAUAUAUAUUAAAAAAAAAAAAAAAAACAUUUCAGCCUUACAUACAGUGUUAAAAUUUGUAUCUGCAAGCAUAAUCUUGGAUAUUGAAAUAUUCUCUACCAAUUGUUUCAUGGCAUGCAUUGUCCUUAGAAGAUGUACUAUGGUCAUUCCCAAUUUUCCAGAAUUUAAUUUUUCACUAUUUAUUUGUUAACAUUUCCAACAUAUAUCCUAAUGUCUUAUAUCUGACCUUAAGGACAACUCACAUAAUCAUUUUUGUUAUUUAAAUAAGUCAAAACUAACUUAUGGUUAGUUGGGGAACUGAAUUUUUAACACUUUUAAAAGCAGACUGUAAUUUUGUGCUGUCAGCAGGAUUAUUUUUUGUGUUUGCUGUUAUGCCUGUAGUGUCAUUACAUCAAUGACCACAUGAGGACACCAAAGUAUUUCAUUUAAUGCCUUUAGUGAAGACUCUGGUGAAUAACAAUGUGCUUAUUCUUGUCAGUACUGUUGACUUAUUUUAUGUAGUAAAAUAAACUGCAAUUAUUUGAUAUGCAAUUUUCCUCAUCCUCCUUUAGGAAAACCUAAAAUAUUCUAAAUUCAAAGUUCAGCAGUAAAAUUAAACACCUGUUUAUUGUUUAUUGAUAAAUGAGCAAUUUGUUUUUGUUGUUGUUUAUUCAACUUUUGUUGAGUGUGAUUUCUUAUGAUUUUUUAUAUAUAAUUAAAAAAAAAAAAAUUAGUUAUUCAAAUAAAUGACUGCAAGUUACAAAUUCAUGAGGUCCAUGUGUCUCUUUUGAAAAAGCAAUAAAGUCCAUGUUUUAUUGUAUACUUUUUUGGGUAAUCUGUUGAAACACAAAUCUUAGCUUUGGGUCAUCUUUUACUCAGAGAUGGUAUUAAAUGUAAAACUCUGGGUAGUUUUAUUAUUAUUAUUAUUAUUAUUAUUAUUAUUAUUGUUGUUGUUGUUGUUGUUGUUGUUACAUAAACCAACAUUUAUAAGAUUCAUCUUCUUUAUCAGGUAGCUCAUGGUUCUAUUUAAAGUUGGUAAUCUUUUAUCUUUUCUGUAAGCGGUCUUUGUUUAUAUAAAUUAAUCAGCUAAAUUAAGACUGGACUAAGAUCUCCUCUGGAUGAUCAGUGUUCCUGUCAGACAGGGGUUUCAUUUCCUUUCUAAUUCUGUGCAAUGUGUGUGCACACGCCCUUGUGUUUUUUAUUUGAAUAAGUCAGCAAGUCUUGUUCAUCUUAGCAGGAAAGAAAUCUUGAACUUUCAUUGUAAGUCCAACCGUCAAAAGGCUAAAGUGUCACCUCCAGUGUUUUGCACCAUGGGAGGUUGUUAUGAUCAAGUGGUUCUGAUGGCUGUGGCCUUGUUGCUGUCAACUGUUCAAUGCGAUGUGAGCUGCAGAGGAGCGGAUGGUCAAGCAGGACAGCCAGGAGGUCCU